UUCUGGCUCAGGAUGAACGCUGGCGGCGUGCCUAACACAUGCAAGUCGAACGGGGUACAGACGCUGUGCGAAGAAGUGCUUGCACGGAUUCAAACUUGUCUGUACUAGUGGCGGACGGGUGAGUAACGCGUGGAAAACCUGCCUCAUACAGGGGGAUAACAGGAAGAAAUUCCUGCUAAUACCGCAUAAGCGCACAAUGCCGCAUGGCAGAGUGUAGAAAAAGAUUUAUCGGUAUGAGAUGGUUCCGCGUCUGAUUAGCCAGUUGGCGGGGUAACGGCCCACCAAAGCCGACGAUCAGUAGCCGGCCUGAGAGGGCGGACGGCCACAUUGGGACUGAGACACGGCCCAGACUCCUACGGGAGGCAGCAGUGGGGGAUAUUGCACAAUGGGGGAAACCCUGAUGCAGCGACGCCGCGUGGGUGAAGAAGUUAUUCGUAAUGUAAAGCCCUAUCAGCAGGGAAGAUAAUGACGGUACCUGACUAAGAAGCCCCGGCUAACUACGUGCCAGCAGCCGC
rnacentral:rRNA from 1 species